GGGGUAGAACAACAUAUUUGUACCUUCUCAGCUCGGGGGGAUUUGAUCCCCCAACCUUUCGGUUACUAGUCCGACACUGACCACUAGGCUCUCGGUCGCCCCCAGAUCGCAUUUAUUUUGGGAGAUUGCAAAAUAUGUCAUUUUCAUUCAAGAUAUGAUAAAUAUAUUGUUUCAGGUGAUAAUAAAACAUGUUUUGUUUAGUUACAUUUUCCUCAACUUGUUUCUCUAACUUUAUAGCAAGUCAAGUUAGCUUGCACUGCAGAACAGCUAGCUUGCUAAAAGCUAGGCUAGGUUGAAGGUACCACUGUAGCUAGCUUAAAGCUAGGCUAGGUUGAAAGUACCACUUAGCUAGCUAAAAGCUAGGCUAUGUUGAAGGUACCACUGUAGCUAGCUUAAAGCUAGGCUAGGUUGAAAGUACCACUUAGCUAGCUAAAAGCUAGGCUAGGUUGAAAGUACCACUUAGCUAGCUAAAAGCUAGGCUAGGUUGAAGGUACCACUGUAGCUAGCUUAAAGCUAGGCUAGGUUGAAAGUACCACUUAGCUAGCUAAAAGCUAGGCUAGGUUGAAGGUACCACUGUAGCUAGCUUAAAGCUAGGCUAGGUUGAAAGUACCACUUAGCUAGCUAAAAGCUAGGCUAGGUUGAAGGUACCACUGUAGCUAGCUUAAAGCUAGGCUAGGUUGAAGGUACCACUGUAGCUAGCUAAAAGCUAGGCUAGGUUGAAGGUACCACUGUAGCUAGCUUAAAGCUAGGCUAGGUUGAAAGUACCACUUAGCUAGCUAAAAGCUAGGCUAGGUUGAAGGUACCACUGUAGCUAGCUAAAAGCUAGGCUAGGUUGAAGGUACCACUGUAGCUAGCUAAAAGCUAGGCUGAAGGUACCACUGUAGCUAGCUUAAAGCUAGGCUAGGUUGAAAGUACCACUUAGCUAGCUAAAAGCUAGGCUAGGUUGAAAGUACCACUUAGCUAGCUAAAAGCUAGGCUAGGUUGAAGGUACCACUGUAGCUAGCUAAAAGCUAGGCUGAAGGUACCACUGUAGCUAGCUUAAAGCUAGGCUAGGUUGAAAGUACCACUUAGCUAGCUAAAAGCUAGGCUAGGUUGAAGGUACCACUGUAGCUAGCUUAAAGCUAGGCUAGGUUGAAAGUACCACUUAGCUAGCUAAAAGCUAGGCUAGGUUGAAGGUACCACUGUAGCUAGCUAAAAGCUAGGCUAGGUUGAAGGUACCACUGUAGCUAGCUUAAAGCUAGGCUAGGUUGAAAGUACCACUUAGCUAGCUAAAAGCUAGGCUAGGUUGAAAGUACCACUUAGCUAGCUAAAAGCUAGGCUAGGUUGAAGGUACCACUGUAGCUAGCUAAAAGCUAGGCUGAAGGUACCACUGUAGCUAGCUUAAAGCUAGGCUAGGUUGAAAGUACCACUUAGCUAGCUAAAAGCUAGGCUAGGUUGAAGGUACCACUUAGCUAGCUAAAAGCUAGGCUAGGUUGAAGGUACCACUGUAGCUAGCUAAAAGCUAGGCUGAAGGUACCACUGUAGCUAGCUUAAAGCUAGACUAGGUUGAAAGUACCACUUAGCUAGCUAAAAGCUAGGCUAGGUUGAAGGUACCACUUAGCUAGCUAAAAGCUAGGCUAGGUUGAAGGUACCACUGUAGCUAGCUUAAAGCUAGGCUAGGUUGAAAGUACCACUUAGCUAGCUAAAAGCUAGGCUAGGUUGAAAGUACCACUUAGCUAGCUAAAAGCUAGGCUAGAUUGAAGGUACCACUGUAGCUAGCUAAAAGCUAGGUUGAAAAUACCACUAUAGCUAGCUAAAAGCUAGGCUUGGUUGAAAAUACCACUGUAGCUAGCUAAAAGCUAGGCUAGGUUGAAAAUACCAAUGUACUGCUUGUGACCUCCAUCUAAUAAUUAUCAUCAAAAACAAACACCAUAUUACCAUUA